UGGUACUGAGACACGGACCAGACUCCUACGGGAGGCAGCAGUAAGGAAUAUUGGUCAAUGGGCGGAAGCCUGAACCAGCCAUGCCGCGUGCAGGAUGACUGCCCUAUGGGUUGUAAACUGCUUUUGUCCAGGAAUAAACCUAGAUACGUGUAUCUAGCUGAAUGUACUGGAAGAAUAAGGAUCGGCUAACUCCGUGCCAGCAGCCGCGGUAAUACGGAGGAUCCGAGCGUUAUCCGGAUUUAUUGGGUUUAAAGGGUGCGUAGGCGGCCUAUUAAGUCAGGGGUGAAAUACGGUGGCUCAACCAUCGCAGUGCCUUUGAUACUGAUGGGCUUGAAUCCAUUUGAAGUGGGCGGAAUAAGACAAGUAGCGGUGAAAUGCAUAGAUAUGUCUUAGAACUCCGAUUGCGAAGGCAGCUCACUAAGCUGGUAUUGACGCUGAUGCACGAAAGCGUGGGGAUCGAACAGGAUUAGAUACCCUGGUAGUCCACGCCCUAAACGAUGAUAACUCGAUGUUGGCGAUAGACAGCCAGCGUCUUAGCGAAAGCGUUAAGUUAUCCACCUGGGGAGUACGCCCGCAAGGGUGAAACUCAAAGGAAUUGACGGGGGCCCGCACAAGCGGAGGAGCAUGUGGUUUAAUUCGAUGAUACGCGAGGAACCUUACCCGGGCUUGAAAGUUAGUGAAGAGACCAGAGACGGUCUCGUCCUUCGGGACACGAAACUAGGUGCUGCAUGGCUGUCGUCAGCUCGUGCCGUGAGGUGUUGGGUUAAGUCCCGCAACGAGCGCAACCCCUAUGUUUAGUUGCCAGCAUGUAAUGGUGGGGACUCUAAACAGACUGCCUGUGCAAACAGUGAGGAAGGUGGGGACGACGUCAAGUCAUCAUGGCCCUUACGUCCGGGGCUACACACGUGCUACAAUGGAUGGUACAGCGGGCAGCUACAUAGCAAUAUGAUGCUAAUCUCUAAAAGCCAUUCACAGUUCGGAUUGGGGUCUGCAACUCGACCCCAUGAAGUUGGAUUCGCUAGUAAUCGCGUAUCAGCAAUGACGCGGUGAAUACGUUCCCGGGCCUUGUACACACCGCCCGUCAAGCCAUGAAAGUUGGGGGUACCUAAAGCAUGUGACCGCAAGGAGCG
rnacentral:rRNA from 1 species